UACGUAGGGGGCAAGCGUUGUCCGGAAUCAUUGGGCGUAAAGCGCGUGUAGGCGGCUCGAUAAGUCUGCUGUGAAAGUCCAGGGCUCAACCCUGGGAUGCCGGUGGAUACUGUCGAGCUCGAGUCCGGAAGAGGAGAGUGGAAUUCCUGGUGUAGCGGUGAAAUGCGCAGAUAUCAGGAAGAACACCCGUGGCUAAGGGCGGCUCUCUAGUACGGUACUGACGCUGAGACGCGAAAGCGUGGGGAGCGAACAGG
rnacentral:rRNA from 1 species